rnacentral:rRNA from 1 species
GGCUCAGGAUGAACGCUAGCGGCAGGCUUAAUACAUGCAAGUCGUGGGGCAGCAUGAGUAGCAAUACUUGAUGGCGACCGGCGAACGGGUGAGGAACACGUACACAACCUUCCUUCGAAGCGGGGAAUAGCCCAGAGAAAUUUGGGUUAAUACCCCAUAAUAUAUUUGAUAAGGCAUCUUAUUAAUAUUAAAGCUUCGGCACUUGAUGAUGGGUGUGCGGCUGAUUAGAUAGUUGGCGGGGUAACGGCCCACCAAGUCUACGAUCAGUAGCUGAUGUGAGAGCAUGAUCAGCCACACGGGGCACUGAGACACGGGCCCGACUCCUACGGGAGGCAGCAGUAAGGAAUAUUGGACAAUGGACGAAAGUCUGAUCCAGCCAUGCCGCGUGAAGGAUUAAGGUCCUCUGGAUUGUAAACUUCUUUUAUAUGGGACGAAAAAAGGGCAUUCUUGUUCACUUGACGGUACCAUAUGAAUAAGCACCGGCUAACUCCGUG